CUCCAUAGGGGCCCCCGCCCCGCAGCCACCCCGCCCCGGGCCUCGCCCGCGCCGCCGCCGGCGGAAACCCUCGGCCCCGCGACCCCUGCCUGGGGUUAGAAGCAGAGGGCGUGCGGUGCCCCGGGCCCCCUACUCCGUUUGCCGAAGCUAGAGAGACAGGGGGUGGACCAACCGCGGGGCGGCGGCCGGCGGGGCGGAGGAAGGGGAGCCGAGCUGGGGACGAGUGUAGGAUUGCUGCCGGUCCCGCAACCCGUGCGGCCGGGGUUACGCGAAGGAGGCGGAGGGCACGGCCCACUGCAGGUGCCCCGCGUGUGGGCACGACGAAAGCGCCCCCUCCUCCCAGCAUAGAAACGGAUAAACGGAAGCGCGUGUGAACGUGGGGGUGCGACUCGCCACCUCCCGACUUGGCUUUCCCGCUCUUCCGAGCGCUCCCACUUCUCACUUUCCCCAAAUCCGCAUUUUCCUUGGCACAGCUCUCCCCAAGCAAGAAGGAGAGGGAGUCAGCAGAUGUGGCUUCUUUUAGCUGAAUAAUCCGUUAAAGGAAUAAUAAUUUUUGAAAGGGGGAUCGACCUCACCCAAAGAGGAUGGCGAGCGAGAUUAGGGCUUGUAGAUCUACUGCCUUUCGUUGGAACGCCGCGGACUGAGACCUGUCCCUCGAGAAGAACAAAAAGACGAAGACCUGAGUGGACCCCCCACCCACCCCCGCCCCGGACAAAGCACUUUGGGCUCGGCGAGCAGGGACGCGCCGGAGCGCUGGCUCGGGAAUACGAGUGAUCUCCGGUCUGCCCGGCGUGCGGACCUCCGAGGGGACUCGAAUUUUAUUUAGCCUCUUGAUCUGGGCGUUGAAGAGGAGACUGUGGAACAGGAGGCUUAGCAGAGUCGAAGCCCGAAGAUGAUGCCGAAGGGCUGAGGGGAUAGUGUGAGUGGGGAUGGGCCAGGUGGAGGAGGGUUGCGAAAAGAAGGGGUCUGUUUGAACCCCUCUCUGGGUUCACAGGAUGAGUUUUGCUGGGGAUGAGAAUACUGGUGUCUGUUGAUAGGAGAUCUGAGAAAUUGAUGGAAAAUUGGUAUGUCCAUGUACACACUUAAGGAUGUAAACAGAGUGGAGAGGUAGAGGAGGGUAUAGAGGGAAAGGCUGAAAAUAAUGUCUUAUUAUCCCUUUGGUUUUGGGGACUCUCAUCCUCUGAUCCUCUCCUUCCGCUCUUUUUUUUUUUUUUUUUUUUGGACCCAGGGAUCCAGCGCAUUAGACGAGUGACCUUUUAUAUCUGUGCCCACCCUUCACCUGCGAGAGGACUGCAGCAACCGAGUUCUGGAAGGCUGAUUCCCCAAAUUCUGGCCCCGGACCCCGGCAGCUCGCCCCUGCGGCACGCCCGGCCGGGUUGCGCCUGGACUCAGCAAGCUAGGAAAAAGCCUGGAUCCGAAAGGAUGGGGGAGAACAAAGAGCCUUUGCAAGACGUCGCUGUUAUCUCAUUGUCUGUGUGACUGGGGGAGCUGCGGUAGAGGAUGCUGUGGUCCUUUCCUCCCGGCGCUCCCCCACCCCCACGCCCUUCCCCGCUGUCAGUGCGCACGCACGCGCGCCGCUUUUCGCUUGUUUUUCCCGUUUUCUCAUUCCGUCUUCUCCCCACCCGCCCCCCUGCUUUCUUCCACCUUUCCUUCCUUCCUCCUCUCCUUCCUCAGGAGAAAGGCCUCUCUCUCCGUGUUCACAGCGGACCUUGAUUUAAAUGUCCAUACAAUUAAGGCACGCGGUGAAUGCCAAGAAUGGGGCUGGCUGAGCACCCGUCGGUCCGCGAGGGCCCUGCGAGGAAGGAUCCACAGAG
ensembl:lncRNA